GGCCACCGCUAUUGGAAUACGAUUAAGACAUGCGAGUCGAGAGACAUUAUGGUCUCGGCGGACCGCUCAGUAACACGUGGAUAACAUGCCCUAAGGUGGGGGAUAAUCUCGGGAAACUGAGGAUAAUACCCCAUAGGUCUUCUAUGCUGGAAUGCUUGAAGGCCGAAAACUCCGGUGCCUUAGGAUUGGUCUGCGGCCUAUCAGGCUGUAGUGGGUGUAAUGGACCCACUAGCCCGUGACGGGUAUGGGCCUUGAGAGAGGGAGCCCAGAGAUGGACUCUGAGACAUGAGUCCAGGCCCUACGGGGCGCAGCAGUCGCGAAAACUUCGCAAUGGGGGCAACCCCGACGAGGGAAUUCCAAGUGCCAGCACUUUGUGUUGGCUGUUCUCCUGUCUAAAAAACAGGAGGAGUAAGGGGCGGGUAAGACGGGUGCCAGCCGCCGCGGUAAUACCCGCGCCCCUAGUGGUGGUCGAUAUUAUUGAGCCUAAAACGUCCGUAGCCGGUCUUUUAAAUCCUUGGGUAAAUCGGGCAGCUCAACUGUCCGAAUUCCGAGGAGACUGGAAGACUUGGGACCGGGAGAGGUCAGAGGUACUUCUGGGGUAGGGGUAAAAUCCUGUAAUCCUGGAAGGACCACCGGUGGCGAAGGCGUCUGACUAGAACGGAUCCGACGGUGAGGGACGAAGCCCUGGGGCGCAAACGGGAUUAGAUACCCCGGUAGUCCAGGGUGUAAACGCUGCGGGCUUGGUGUUGGGGGUCCUUUGAGGGCGCCCAGUGCCGGAGAGAAGUUGUUAAGCCUGCUGCUUGGGGAGUAUGUCCGCAAGGAUGAAAC
rnacentral:rRNA from 1 species